rnacentral:misc_RNA from 1 species
UCACUCACAUAACAUCUCUUAUUCCCAUCUUCUCUCUGCCUCCUUCGCUUCUCUUUCUGGAUUCUUUUAUGCUAUAGCUAUCUCUUUUUCAUUGCCGAUUUCAUGUUCUUUGACUUACAGGGAUUUUUGCAUGUAUCCGUCAUAAUAAAAAGAAAAAAAGAAGAAGAAAACGAGAUGUUGGUGCGGUUCAAUCAGAAAGCACUGCUCUAUGGAUAGAGCUUUGUUGUUUGAUUGAGCCGUGCCAAUAUCACGUAUUACUGUAUGUAAAUCUCUUCAUUGUUCGAUUAAGCCAUGCUAAGUUCACGUGUCACCAUGCCAAGAUCACAUGACUCUGCUUCUAACUAUGCAUAUUGAUUUUUUCUAUCUUUUUCAAGGUAUAGUCCCGCUGGUUUCUCUUUUUUGAGGUGCCUUUCCUUGUCUUUUCUUGUGUAUAUUUUCUAGCUAGCACACCACAACAGAUUACUGGGUUGGUGAUUUUGGAUUAAUGCAAUGAUAAUCGUGCUUGCUUUUCUAGUUUGAUUACUGAUUAGAUAUCUGAAAACAGUGCAGCUUUGAUUCAUAAAUAAGAACAUUUAUUAUUUAGUUUCUUUUAUGGAGCCAUGGAGGAGAGUUGAUUAAUAUCUUGCGUUGCAUGCACGUUUUCCUCGGUUAAUUAAGAGUUAG